AGCAGCCGCGGUAAUUCCAGCUCCAAUAGCGUAUAUUAAAGUUGUUGCAGUUAAAAAGCUCGUAGUUGAAUUUCGGGAUUAGUACGUUGGUCGUGCCUUAGGUACGUACUGGUGUUACUGGUUCCUACCUUCUGACGAACCAUCAUGUCAUUAAUUUGGUGUGGCGGGGAAUCAGGACUGUUACUUUGAAAAAAUUAGAGUGUUUAAAGCAGGCUCGCGCUUGAAUACAUUAGCAUGGAAUAAUGAAAUAGGACGUUGACCCUAUUUUGUUGGUUUCUAGGAUUGACGUAAUGAUUAAUAGGGAUAGUUGGGGGCAUUAGUAUUCAAUUGUCAGAGGUGAAAUUCUUGGAUUUAUUGAAGACUAACUACUGCGAAAGCAUUUGCCAAGGAUGUUUUCAUUAAUCAAGAACGAAAGUUAGGGAUCGAAGACGAUCAGAUACCGUCGUAGUCUUAACAUAAACUAUGCCGACUAGGGAUCGGGAUGGAUGUUAAUUUUUAAUGACUCAUUCGCGCCGUUACG
rnacentral:rRNA from 1 species